rnacentral:rRNA from 1 species
UUUGAUCCUGGCUCAGGACGAACGCUGGCGGCGUGCCUAAUACAUGCAAGUCGAACGCUUCUUUUUCCACCGGAGCUUGCUCCACCGGAAAAAGAGGAGUGGCGAACGGGUGAGUAACACGUGGGUAACCUGCCCAUCAGAAGGGGAUAACACUUGGAAACAGGUGCUAAUACCGUAUAACAAUCGAAACCGCAUGGUUUUGAUUUGAAAGGCGCUUUCGGGUGUCGCUGAUGGAUGGACCCGCGGUGCAUUAGCUAGUUGGUGAGGUAACGGCUCACCAAGGCCACGAUGCAUAGCCGACCUGAGAGGGUGAUCGGCCACAUUGGGACUGAGACACGGCCCAAACUCCUACGGGAGGCAGCAGUAGGGAAUCUUCGGCAAUGGACGAAAGUCUGACCGAGCAACGCCGCGUGAGUGAAGAAGGUUUUCGGAUCGUAAAACUCUGUUGUUAGAGAAGAACAAGGAUGAGAGUAACUGUUCAUCCCUUGACGGUAUCUAACCAGAAAGCCACGGCUAACUACGUGCCAGCAGCCGCGGUAAUACGUAGGUGGCAAGCGUUGUCCGGAUUUAUUGGGCGUAAAGCGAGCGCAGGCGGUUUCUUAAGUCUGAUGUGAAAGCCCCCGGCUCAACCGGGGAGGGUCAUUGGAAACUGGGAGACUUGAGUGCAGAAGAGGAGAGUGGAAUUCC